GGGUACUGCUAUCUUUUCACAGGGAAAAAGUAGGAACUUCAGAAUAUGGAACAUACACUAUUUGAUAUCUUUUACAAAUACUAGGGAAAAGCCUCCCCUCAUUGGAGUUCACAGCAAAAUUCCAAGCCUGCAGGAGUUUAAAUAUUUUUGAUUAAAGAGUCUAUGCAAACAGUUUGCCACUAUGAUCACUGCAAUGCAAACUCAAACAGCUUUGGAUAAAUUCCUGGUCUGACUCUGUUACUGUGUAAAACUCAGCAGACACCACUGGAACAGUUAGUUCCCUUGCUUGGUGGGAUGAAAGACGGAUGCAUACAGAAGAAGCUGAGAGGUGAUUAGCACUUCUCUGACUUGAAGUUUUACACAACUUCCUUUGGGCAACAGAACGGAAGGCUGGAAUGAUUCUGAAUUGAGCCGUGGUACAGAGCUGCUGAGCUGCUGGUCAGUCAGUUACAGUUGGAAUCAGUGGUGCCACAUCUGUAGAUGAACAUAAAUGAAACUACAUAGAAAAGGUACUCUACAUCUUCACUAGAUUUUCUGUAGGUUUGGACCACUUCAUUUGGAGACUGAUCCACAGAGCUGGGAAAUCAAUUUUGCUUCAGAAACUAAAUCUUUGGUUUAACCUGUGGUAGCCUUUGGAGCAGGAUAUCAGAAGAAAUGAUGGCAUGGAGUCAGGAAGAAAAGGUGAAAAGUGAACAAGAAAGAAACCAGAACCACUUAUCUUAGUAGCACUGUUUCACCAUGGACACAGACUUCUGACAACUGCUUGGAUAGAAGUGUUGGAGCCUGAGAAAUUGGCAUGUUUCAGGCGUUUGGACAUGCUUACCCUGAGUUUGUCCUGACCUACCUAGAGGAACUAAAUGAAAGAGGAGGUGACCCAGACAGAAAACCGCAUUCACCAUGGGGCCUGAUCUGCAGCUCAUCGGGAGAUAGACAGCAGCUCAGCAGAAGAGAUACCACAAAAAAAUGUCAGCAACCCCAAUCAGAAACAACUUUCAGGACCUUUGGACGCCCAUUUAAUGCCUGCAGAUCCCCUAGGGGAGACUACACAGCUGACAGUGGCACUGGUGAGGAAACUAGAAGAGAAACAUCCUAAGGCCUCAGCUUAAAGGCUGCACAGGCCCCAAAAACCUGUGGCCAGAGGCUGAGAAUUGCACCAGAACUCCCACCGGCUUUAACACAGUGACAAUUCCCCCAGUGCGUCUGCUGCACAUGCAUCCUAACUAGUUCAAAACUAGUUCGUAUGAAGUUAAAGAUGGGCACGGAGCAUAUGAUAUCGAUCAUUGGUCAUGACUGGCAUGUGAAAACUCUCCAGCUGCUAACUAGGAGACCGUUCUGAGAUAUUAGAAUAGUAAAAGUAAGUCUGAGGAAUGUGAGAGAACAGAUACUUAUAUAUUCAGUCAGUGGAUCCACUUACAGCUCAAGGGAAAGGAAUCUCACAGAAUAGGUGGAGAAUCCAGGCUUAAAGGUUCUUCUGUAUGGCAAACUCUAAACUUCCUACAAGUUACCUCAGGCCAUUUGCUUCAUUACAGUAUCAAGAUAGUUCUGGCAAGAAAGUGUUCAUGAAUUUGACGAAGAGAAUGGAUUCCCAAAAGACAAGAAUGAAGAAUAAUGUCAAGAUAAGGAACUACCAAAAAUCCCAAGAUUACAUAUUUAUACUUUCUCUGAAAUAUUUUCCCACCCAUUUCCCCUUUCUUUGUGUUUUCUGUUGUUUUUUUUUUUUUUUUUGUGUGUGUUUUUUUUUCUUAAUCCAGCCUUCCUAGUCUAUGUCUACGUCUGCAAGUAUGUAUUAUACUGACUUUUCUAAUAUAAUUCUCAUGAGGAAGUUAGAAACCUGGGUCAUAAAACGUAGAGACUCUGAAGACUAAUAUUUGUAUAUAACACUCUAUAGUGUAAGUUCACGAAGUAUAUUAUCAACCUAAAGUUCAGCUGUUUAUCCAGAUCUCAGCCAAAGCUCUCUGCAGGAUUUAGCAAAGCACAAGACAGCUAUUUGAGUUCGAUCAGCACAUUAUAAAUCAUGCAUUCCCAGGCCUUAUUUUGAGAGUGUGGGAUUUUGACCUGUGUCUUAGGCCUGACAUUGUAUUAGUGGAAAAGACACCUGAUGGUAUCAGUCACACCAGCUUUGGAAAGCGAAUGAUAACUGAAACAAUUCCUUGUGUUUUAAGACCCAAUGGUAUGGAGGCAGACUUCAUUAUUUUUCUUAAAAUACAAAUGCAACUUAAUAGACUGUUGUCUAGCUGUUCAAAGCCUUUGUUAUAUUUGAGAAGGAACUGGGUUUAAUGAUUUAAUAGGGCCUCAAUAUUCUUCUCUCAUUUCCGUACUUUAUUAGCCACUAUUUCCUGCAAAGAAUCUCACAAAUGAAUUUGAACAAAGCUAAUAUGCCAGUCUAAUGACAGAUUGCUUUCAAGACUAAUAUCAAGGAACUUUCUUCCCAUCUAGUGAAUGAAUCAUAGUCAUUCAAUUGUGGACUGUUGGACAGAUAUACGAAGUGCUCUUUGCUUUAAAGCUCUCUGAACAUAAGGAAUGAUCUUAGGAUCAAAAUAUCAUCAAAUAAAAAUACUACACUGUUACAGAAGCUCAGAUUAGUAUUGAUAUAAGAAGUCCAGACACCGCGUCUUUCAAAAACAGAUAAAAAAUACCAGCAUGUAUGCACCAUUUGCCUUUAAUCACAAAGACAUACUGAACAUGCUUGAAAUGCCAAUAGUUUUAUAGAUUGCUGUGCCGUUUACUACUCCUCUAUUCUUCACUUUUUUUCCCUUAAGAGAUGAAACCCAGUGCAGCAGCAUGACAGAAGAUACAUUGAACCAGUCAGCAGACCCAUGAAGAGAGAAACUGGACCUUUCUGUGGAAAUUUCACCAGAUGAGUGAUUUUAAACCUGACAUCAAAAAUUACAAUGCCCACAGAACCAACUGCAUGUGAAAGGACUAAAGUGAAAAUUUAGAGGUGUCCUGUUGUCCUUCAGGUAAGAUGAGUGGAUUUCUUACAGUAGAAAAUAACAUUUGUUAUGUAUAUUUAUAUACUAAUCCUUGUCCUAGCUGUAAUCUUUAAAUUUAAUAUACUUCGUGUUACCAUAUAUAUGCUCCAUAUAUUUUUUAUA